UUUCCCUCGCAGCGCACGGAUCCUUUUCUUCGAGCGUUUCCGAUCCCUCUUACUCUCUCUCUCUCUCUCUCUCGUUUUCCCCCUCCGUUGAAGGAGACGGAGAAUUAGGGUUCGAUACCGAUCGCAUAAUGCUCGAUGACUCGUCCGGCGUUGGCGACGGGGAUCGCUGCUGGUGGUGGUGGUUAUGGGUGCACGCUACCGUCUUCCUCCUCCGCCCUCUCCUUGCCGUCUCCUUCGUCCUGUCCUUGAUUCUCCUCAGUUGGUUCGUGGCGUGGAAGACGGUGUUGAUUCACGUUCCGCUGGUGCAAGAGAUCUGCGGCCUCCGGAAGAAGCCUGCGAAGCCCAAACCCCGCGACACUCACCGCCUCACCCGAUUGUAUAACUCCAAUCCCGCUCUAAGACGCAACAGUUCGAACACCCAAGAAACAUCAUGAAUACUUCAGGACUUCGAUGACAGGCAUCAGAUGGGUAGCAAAGUUGCAGGUUGUCAUUUUAUUUAUUUGCCAAGAUUCAUAGCAUUUUGUUUUCCUAUGAAGUAGCCAUUGGAGUUUGGCUCGUCCUAAGUGGGUUGUGCCUCAGGGUAUUUGAUGCAUGCCGUAUUAAUUUCUUUUUUCCUUUUUCUGCAACAUUGUUUCGUCAGAGACGUCUCUGAAUCCCAUUAUCUGUACAUACACUAGUUUGGCAUCUCAAAGCCUGGUAUUUGGAUUUGCUUA